rnacentral:rRNA from 1 species
GAUGAACGCUGGCGGCGUGCCUAAUACAUGCAAGUCGAGCGAACGGACGAGAAGCUUGCUUCUCUGAUGUUAGCGGCGGACGGGUGAGUAACACGUGGAUAACCUACCUAUAAGACUGGGAUAACUUCGGGAAACCGGAGCUAAUACCGGAUGAUAUUUUGAACCGCAUGGUUCAAAAGUGAAAGACGGUCUUGCUGUCACUUAUAGAUGGAUCCGCGCUGCAUUAGCUAGUUGGUAAGGUAACGGCUUACCAAGGCAACGAUGCAUAGCCGACCUGAGAGGGUGAUCGGCCACACUGGAACUGAGACACGGUCCAGACUCCUACGGGAGGCAGCAGUAGGGAAUCUUCCGCAAUGGGCGAAAGCCUGACGGAGCAACGCCGCGUGAGUGAUGAAGGUCUUCGGAUCGUAAAACUCUGUUAUUAGGGAAGAACAAAUGUGUAAGUAACUAUGCACGUCUUGACGGUACCUAAUCAGAAAGCCACGGCUAACUACGUG